rnacentral:SRP_RNA from 1 species
GCCGGGUGCGGUGGCGCGUGCCUGUAGUACCAGCUACUCGGGAGGCCGAGGUGGGAGGAUCACUUGGGCCCAGGAGUUCUGGGCUGUAGUGCACUAUGCCCAUCGGGUGUCCGCACUAAGUUCGGCAUCAAUAUGGUGACCUCCCAGGAGCGGGGGACCACCAGGUUGCCUAAGGAGGGGUGAACCGGCCCAGGUCGGAAACGGAGCAGAUCAAAACUCCCGUGCUGAUCAAUAGUGGGAUCGCGCCUGUGAAUAGCCACUGCACUCCAGCCUGGGCAACAUAGCGAAGGCCCGUCUCUU